rnacentral:rRNA from 1 species
CCUACGGGAGGCAGCAGUGGGGAAUAUUGGACAAUGGGCGAAAGCCUGAUCCAGCAAUGCCGCGUGAGUGAUGAAGGCCUUAGGGUCGUAAAGCUCUUUUACCCGGGAUGAUAAUGACAGUACCGGGAGAAUAAGCCCCGGCUAACUCCGUGCCAGCAGCCGCGGUAAUACGGAGGGGGCUAGCGUUGUUCGGAAUUACUGGGCGUAAAGCGUACGUAGGCGGUUAUUCAAGUCAGAGGUGAAAGCCCGGGGCUCAACCCCGGAACGGCCUUUGAAACUAGAUAGCUAGAGUCUUGGAGAGGUCAGUGGAAUUCCGAGUGUAGAGGUGAAAUUCGUAGAUAUUCGGAAGAACACCAGUGGCGAAGGCGACUGACUGGACAAGUACUGACGCUGAGGUACGAAAGCGUGGGGAGCAAACAGGAUUAGAUACCCUGGUAGUCCACGCCGUAAACGAUGAUAACUAGCUGUCCGGGUACUUGGUAUCUGGGUGGCGCAGCUACGACAUUAAGUUAUUCCGUCCGUCGGGUAGGUACGGUCGGCGAGAAUUAAACUACAAGAAGUAGACG